rnacentral:lncRNA from 1 species
AUUGAAGACCUGUUGGUGACCCUCUGCUGUUGUUUUUUAUUUGGUCGGGUUGUUGUCUCUUUGACACAUUCCCCAUUUCCAUUCUCAAUUUUAUUUUGCAAACAGUAAAUUUAUAAAAUUACUAUACAAAAGAUGUACAUGAUGAAACUGAAGUAUUAACUAAUUACAGGAAACAACUGAAAUACAUUACAUAACCAGACAUUUGCAACACAAAAUGUAGACACAUCCGAAUAAGUUUAAACCUCAACGCCAAGUGACGUCAUAUUUGAAAUUGUAAAAAAUGACAAAAAAAUGACGUCAUUUGAAUUUGUAAAACAGAUCAUUAAAAAAUGAAAAAUGACGUCACAUUUGAAU